UUUUUACUGGAUGAUGACUACCACGUGUCAUGUUCUAAUUGAAUGUCAAUUCCAUGGAAAUGUAUUAUUGUUGUCAUUGGUCAAUUAGAACAUGACACAAAUUAUUAUCCAAUAAGAACGUGACACGCGGCAGUCAACAUUC
rfam:Glycine soja cultivar W05 scaffold94_22, whole genome shotgun sequence.